CCUACGGGAGGCAGCAGUAGGGAAUUUUCGUCAAUGGGCGCAAGCCUGAACGAGCGAUGCCGCGUGAGUGAAGAAGGCCUUCGGGUCGUAAAGCUCUGUUGCGGGGGAAAAAAGGCAGCAUCAGGAAAUGGGUGCUGACUGAUGGUGCCCCGCCAGAAAGUCACGGCUAACUACGUGCCAGCAGCCGCGGUAAUACGUCGGUGGCGAGCGUUAUCCGGAAGGAUUGGGCGUAAAGGUUGCGCAGGCGGUCCUGCAAGUCUGGAGUGAAACGCAUGAGCUCAACUCAUGCAUGGCUUUGGAAACUGGAGGACUGGAGAGCAGGAGAGGGCGGUGGAACUCCAUGUGUAGCGGUAAAAUGCGUAGAUAUAUGGAAGAACACCAGUGGCGAAGGCGGCCGCCUGGCCUGUUGCUGACGCUGAGGCACGAAAGCGUGGGGAGCAAAUAGGAUUAGAUACCCGUGUAGUC
rnacentral:rRNA from 1 species